rnacentral:rRNA from 1 species
UACGUAGGGUGCGAGCGUUGUCCGGAAUUAUUGGGCGUAAAGAGCUGUAGGCGGUUUGUCGCGUCUGCCGUGAAAAUCCGGGGCUCAACCCCGGACUUGCGGUGGGUACGGGCAGACUAGAGUGUGGUAGGGGAGACUGGAAUUCCUGGUGUAGCGGUGAAAUGCGCAGAUAUCAGGAGGAACACCGAUGGCGAAGUCAGGUCUCUGGGCCACUACUGACGCUGAGAAGCGAAAGCGUGGGGAGCGAACGG